AAGUCGUAACAAGGUUUCCGUAGGUGAACCUGCGGAAGGAUCAUUAAUGAAAUUAUAAUCCGGCGAGGGAAAGGCGGAGAGUUGUAGCUGGCCCCCAGGGCAUGUGCACGCUCUCUUCCGGACUUUCGCCGUAUGGGCGCGGGGCGACCCGCGUCUUCAUAUACCUCUUCGUGUAGAAAGUCUUUGAAUGUUAUUACCAUCAUCGAGUCGCGACUUCUAGGAGACGCGAUUCUUUGAGACAAAAGUUAUUACAACUUUCAGCAACGGAUCUCUUGGCUCUC
rnacentral:misc_RNA from 1 species